AUUAUGACAUCAGUAACCACCCGAGGCUCUUGUCAUGAGCUGCCAAGGCUAUGGAAGCCUUGAGCUCACAAACUCCAACCAAUAAGGGACAAUCCUUAUGGCUACAGGCCAUUGACGACGACGACACAGACACCCUACAGUCCCAUCUUCCUUCCAUGUGGGUGGCAGGAGUCAGUCUGCACAUGCGAUGCUGCCGAAAGGUGAAGGACAGAGACAUCAGAGCACGUCAGCCAAUGAGCCAGGGCGCCACCUGGGUGCCAGACCCGACCCUCCCUGGGGGAAGCCAGACCCCAAGGUAAGGACACCUAACUUGAAGAACAAAGCCAUUAGACAUCUAUAUUAGUUGUCUACUGCUGAGUAACACAUUUCCUGAAGACUCGUAGCUUCAAACAGCAAUAAAUAUUUAUUAUCUCACAGUUUCUGCAGGUUCAGGAGCUGGCAAAGGGCUGCGAUGAGCGGUUCUGACUUAGGAUUUCUCAGGAUACUGCAGUCAUCGGAAGGUUAGCCUGGGGCAGGAGGAUCUACUGCCAAGGUGGCUCACUCACAUGGCAGGUGCAGGCUGUUGGUGGGAGACCUCGGGUAUGUCCCAUGUGGGCCUCACCACAGCUGCUACAGUGUCCUUGUGACAAAGCAGCAGGCCUCCCUCAGAGCAAGCAGCCCAAAACACAGAGUGCCAAGUAGAAGAGCCCCUGUCUAUAACUCAACCUGGGAAGUCACAUGGCAUCCUGUCAGUCUCAUUCUACUUGUUAGCAGCAAAUCCCUAAGUCCCACCUUUGUCCAAUGGAAGAAAAUAAAGACUCCACUUUUUUGGAGGAAGAAGGUCAGCGAAUCUGCAACAGAUGUUAAUAGCUACAGAGGCAGAACUGGAAUUCUCGUUUAUUUCCUUCUAACUUCACAACUUCCACUGUUGCUUUGAUACACAAAAUAAGAGAAAACUGUCAUAAACAUUCCCACAGUGACUUCCACAUCUAUAGCAAACAUCAUAAGCAGUUCUGAACUUGUUCUCUGCAGCUGGACUUGGCCUUGGAAUAUCACAUCAUGUACGAGCAAUCACAUGGAAUCGGCACAGAAGCAGAAACCCAGUCCCUCCCUGGCCCAGGACAUCCUCUAUAGAAGAAAUGCACAGUGCUCGCUUCGGCAGCACAUAUACUAAAAUUGGAACGAUACAGAGAAGAUUAGCAUGGCCCCUGCGCAAGGAUGACACGCAAAUUCGUGAAGCGUUCCAUAUUUAAAAAAAAAGAAGAAGAAGAAGCAAUGCACAGUGGCCUGGGAAAGCAGUGGAAGAUGGCCCAAGUCCUUGGCCUCUGAACCCACAUAGGAGACCUGGAAGAAGCUCCUGGCUCCUGGCUUUGGAUGUGCUCAGCUCCAGCCGUUUCAGCCAUCUGAAUAGUAAACCAGUGGAUGGAAGACCUCUCUCUUUCUCUCUCUCUCUCUCUCUCUCUCUCUCUCUCUCUCCUCCGUCUCUCUGUAACUCUGCCUUUCAGAUAGAAUAAAUAAGUCUUAAAAAAGAAAGGUUAUUGGUGGUGUCCUUUAUGAUGCGUCUCUGGAGAGAUCUCCAACAGAAGACUAUUUUAUCAGGUCAAUUACGAAGUAAACAGGGUGUUAUAAACACCAUGCCAUUGCUUGUGCCCCUACUGUCCUCAAUGUUUUGGAAAGAUUGAAAUGAUAAAUAAUACUUUUAAAUUGAAAUUGGCAAGGUCAAUUGGUUACCUUGGCCAAGGAUACUAUCAUUGGCUUUAAUGGAUGAGAUGGUUACUAGAAGGGCUAUGUCCUUAACAACAGACUCAUACGUAUGUCUCGUUCUCCUGAUUUGACUAAAUACUUCAGGGCUUUAAUGCCUUUGCCAAAGUACUCUUUCACCAGGUAAAGGAAGCUCUUUAAAAUCCAUCAACUGAUGGUAACAGACUCCCCACAGUAUAGAACUUGAAAACAAGGUCUUUUGAAAGUGAAAUCAGAAAGACUUCACUAGACGCCCAUUCAAAGAGACUCUGUGAGGUUCUUCUCACCACCCACCCAGCAGUCAAGCCUGAGGGUCUCAAGCCUUGGGUACUGUAAGAGAUCCCCUCCAGAAUCCUGGAACUGUGCACCUGUUGGAGACUUUAAAGUAAAGAUGACCAGUGAAAACUUCCACAAAAGUAGAUGACUUUCUAGAUGUAGACAACUUCUCCGAAGAUGUCAGAACAAGACUCUCCAUCCUAGUGACAUCCUUUUCCCUCCUAAUUAUUUUCUUGCUUUCUCCUGACAAGAUAAUGCUAUUCCCAGACAUCACCAUUCUUGAAGACAUUUCUCAUUCCCUGUUUUAACUCAGUUAUUGGGCGUUAGAUUACUUACUAGUGAAAGAGGGAAGAGUUUAUGCGAGUAACAUUUUUGUUGAGCAUGGAUAAAUACAGUUACAAUAAAACUAACAAAGAGGCUAUUUGGUUAAAAUGGGUAGACUCCUCAUCUGGCUCACUUUUUGAUCUAUUUGAUUUUAGUUGGUUUGGUUCAAGGGGAUCCAUGCUCUAAACUCUUGGUGUUAUCCUGCUAAUAGUCACAAUAGUAGUGUUGUCUUCUCUCAAAGUCUUCAAUGUCCACAUGCAGCCAUUAGCAGAAUGGUUUCUUCUUGACUUGGAUUAACAAGAACUGAAAGGCGUGAUCGUGAGGAUACUGUAAUCUCUGAAUUUGGGGCUGAGACUGGAAG